UACGAAGGGUGCAAGCGUUGUUCGGAAUUACUGGGCGUAAAGCGCACGUAGGCGGCUUUCUAAGUCGGGGGUGAAAUCCUGGAGCUCAACUCCAGAACUGCCUUCGAUACUGGAGAGCUUGAGUCCGGGAGAGGUGAGUGGAACUGCGAGUGUAGAGGUGAAAUUCGUAGAUAUUCGCAAGAACACCAGUGGCGAAGGCGGCUCACUGGCCCGGUACUGACGCUGAGGUGCGAAAGCGUGGGGAGCAAACAGG
rnacentral:rRNA from 1 species